rnacentral:rRNA from 1 species
UACAGAGGGGGCAAGCGUUGUCCGGAUUUAUUGGGCGUAAAGGGCGCGUAGGCGGUGAGAUGCGUCUGUUGUGAAAUCGCUCGGCUCAACUGGGCGGGGUCAGCGGAUACGGUCUCACUUGAGCAAGCUAGGGGGCAAUGGAAUUCCCGGUGUAGUGGUGGAAUGCGUAGAUAUCGUCUGGAACGCCGAAGGUGAAAACAGCUCGCUGGGGCUGCGCUGACGCUGAGACACGAAAGCCAGGGGAGCGAACGGG